AUUGAACGCUGGCGGAAUGCUUUACACAUGCAAGUCGAACGGUAGAGGGGGCAACCCCUCGAGAGUGGCGAACGGGUGAGUAAUAUAUCGGAACGUGCCCAGUCGUGGGGGAUAACGUAGCGAAAGUUACGCUAAUACCGCAUACGACCGAAGGAUGACAGCGGGGGAUCGCAAGACCUCGCGCGAUUGGAGCGGCCGAUAUCAGAUUAGGUAGUUGGUGGGGUAAAGGCUCACCAAGCCAACGAUCUGUAGCUGGUCUGAGAGGACGCCCAGCCACACUGGAACUGAGACACGGUCCAGACUCCUACGGGAGGCAGCAGUGGGGAAUUUUGGACAAUGGACGCAAGUCUGGUCCAGCCAUUCCGCGUGCAGGAUGAAGGCCCUCGGGUUGUAAACUGCUUUUGUACGGAACGAAAAGGUCUCUCUUAAUACGGGGGACUCAUGACGGUACCGUAAGAAUAAGCACCGGCUAACUACGUGCCAGCCGCCGCAGUAA
rnacentral:rRNA from 1 species